GAUCAUGCUCAGGAUGAACGCUAGCUACAGGCUUAACACAUGCAAGUCGAGGGGCAGCAUGGUCUUAGCUUGCUAAGGCCGAUGGCGACCGGCGCACGGGUGAGUAACGCGUAUCCAACCUGCCUUACACUCUUGGACAGCCUUCUGAAAGGGGGAUUAAUACAAGAUGUUAUCAUGAGUAAGCAUUUUCGCAUGAUUAAAGGUUUACCGGUGUAAGAUGGGGAUGCGUUCCA
rnacentral:rRNA from 1 species